CAUUGGAGAAAUGUUGGAGGCACACAUAUCAGACGGUUGCUGCCUGUACAUUCAAUAUUCUAUUGGCAAUAGCACCUGUUCUAUGAUAACCUUGUGUGCAUUUCAUGUUGAACUGACACAGUAUUGUUCACAGCAUGCUGUUUUGUCCUCAAACAUCCAGAACAAUUGGGAUGCAUGCCUAAUCUACUCCUCGUCAUGUGGUCACCACAUCCCAGGAGCAGGCUGGAAGUGUUCCUGUAACUCCUGUAAGAUCAAGGCAUCCGUGUGGUGUGUGUUUUAUGGGAGAAGGGAUGCUCUUAGUUGCCCUCAAUUUUAAGCUAAAACAGAAACAAACAAUCUCAACUGAGCAAUCUCUUUCAUGUUACCAGGCUGAAAGGGGAAUUCCACAAGGUGCCCAGUCCUAGAUGUGAAAGAGUGUGUUUGAGCACAGGCAAUGCUGUAUCGUUGGCACCUUUGAUCAUCAAUGUGUCUGUCUGCUCUGACGAAGUAAAAUCAAUGGCAAGACUUUGCCGAGCAAAAUAGUCUUUUAUUUUUUUGUGUUGCUUUUGCAAAAAAAUAUAUAUGUCCCUGCAAGUCAAGCGAAUGACCCGAAAGGUGGCUUCGCUGCUUUCCCUCCCCGCUGGUGCUCUUCUCAACAGAGCAGGGUACAUUGUGGGGGCUUUUUUUCUGUUGUUUUAAUGAGAACGUUUGAAUGUCAUAUUGAUUUUUAGCCUUAAAAAAAGCAUGUAUUGAUUUUUUUUUUGGUGAGGGAACUUUUCACAAGCUUAUUUAAAAAUGGUGGGAUAAAGCUGCUUCAAAAUUGUUGACUUUGUUCUAUUGAGUCAGCAGUAGAUGGAAACUUUUUUUGUGGUAGUUUAAAUGGUUGGAGAAACUUUUGUGCCUGUUUUAAAAUGCUGUUUGAACUGGGAUUCAUGUCUCUUGUCCGUGGUGCUAGGGAUUUGUGUGCUGACAUAAGCUAGUUGUUGAUGGAGGUAUCUAGCGGGUGGAAAAGAACUCUGUAAGUCAUUGUUGGCUCUUUGGGAUCUAUUAAAAUGUAAAGAAAUUUAUCUCCGGAGCUGUUAGCCUCCAUUUUCAUGCUAAACAGGGCUAUCCUACAGUUCCUAUCAUCCUUCACCAUUGGUCAUGCUGGCUGGGGCUGAUGGGAGCAGGAGUCUAGCAACACCUGAUAGCUAUUCCUUUAUGAACCUUAAAAAUACAGAUCAAAAAGGUGGGAGUGUUAAUUGUGAUUAUUAAGAUGUGGCUUGUUUGAAACUAGGACAUGAGAACCCAGAAAGUGAUCCGUAAAGAGCCCUUAGAUAUUUUCAGACUUUAUAUUUCAUCCCUGGCAAGGAUAGCAAUUGAUUUUGUGACAAGCCCGAAAAGGUGAAAACAUGUUGGAGGGAGGCGGAAGGGGUGGGGCAGAAGAGAACAAAACGAUCAAUUUAAUAUCACUUUGUGGCGAAUGGGCAAACUAUGCAUGCUGACUCAGAAGUAAGCCCCACUUAGUUCAGCCAAGAUUGCUCCUUGGUAAGUGUGAAUAGGGUUGUAGCCAUUCAGAGCGACCCUUUGCAUAUCUUCUCAGAUGCCUAUUCCACUGAGUUAAAUGAGACUUAAAGGCAUGUGGGCAUAGACCUGCAGUCAAAGGACUAGACAAAAUAACAGGCAGCUGGGCUUGCAAAGGUGAUUAUUGCUCUUGGCCCAUGGCAUUGUAAACUGUAGGGAAGGUUUUUAUUUUUAUCUUGGUGCAUCUGAAGAAGUGUGCAUGCACACGAAAGCUCAUACCAAUAACAAACUUAGUUGGUCUCUAAGGUGCCACUGGAAGGAUUUUUUUUUAUUUUGUAGGGAUGGUGUUUGUUGUUAGCAGCUGUCUUGAGAGAGAAUGGAGUGUGUUUUGGGGGUGAAUCAGAGCUUUCCAGGUUGAUGAGUCCCAUCUGCCCCUCACUUCCCUCUACUUCAUGUGCUGUAACUGCCUUCUUGACCAUGGGAUCCACAACUGGUCUCAUCCACUCUAUCUGCCAGAGCCUAUCUUUGCAUGCAGGUGAAGUCCCUAACUCACUGAAGGUUUGAGACCCAUCGGCUACCCUACCUGGUUUAGCAGACCAAAGGGUUGACAUAGAAUUAUGCAAACUUGUGAAAUAGCCUAAAGCCUGGGGGUACAGUUAAGGGGAAUAGGUUUUAUCUAUUGCUGAUUCUAAUUAACAUAGUGCUGCAUGUCCUUACCUUCUGCAGAGGGGAAUACUGCUAGACCUGCUAAAUAUUAGAGGUGUGCACGGCCCCCAGGGUUGGUCUCAUUUCUGUAUCUCUGCCUUUUUAAUAAUUCCAGUGUUUCUUAGUUGCUCUGUGCUUUCUUCACUUCAAUCUGAAAUUCACGUUCCAAGCUGCUCUGUAUAAAUUAAACUGUGUCUAUAUUCAUUUAAGUCAAAAUGGAUGAAAUUUACAGGCACAGGAGUCCUUGCCAACUUGCAAAAUACAAGACAUGAGGCUCUUUGUGAGGGGCAGAAACAAGAUUUUCGUCCACAAUCCUUUAUGAGGUGGGGUACUGGGGUAGGCAAGGGUUUGUCUCCAGUGCUUCUUACUUCAAAUUGAUUAAAAGGUAGCCAAGUAGUGGGUAUUCUGCCUGUAGAUGUAUGUAUAUAUAUAUAUUUAACCAGCUUUUCUCUGAGCUUUCCUUUCCAGUCCUUAUUUCUUUUUCCAGUCCUUGUGCUUUCUAGAAUGCUUCUUUUGGAGCUAUGAAGAGCUCUGUUUGUUUUUGUUAAAGCAGAGCAACACAGUUGUUGUUUUUAAAUUUACAUGAAUCUUUUAACUUUUCC